UUACGGGAGGCAGCAGUGGGGAAUUUUGGACAAUGGGCGCAAGCCUGAUCCAGCAAUGCCGCGUGCAGGAAGAAGGCCUUCGGGUUGUAAACUGCUUUUGUACGGAGCGAAAAGGUCUUCCCUAAUACGGGAGGCUGAUGACGGUACCGUAAGAAUAAGCACCGGCUAACUACGUGCCAGCAGCCGCGGUAAUACGUAGGGUGCGAGCGUUAAUCGGAAUUACUGGGCGUAAAGCGUGCGCAGGCGGUUUUGUAAGACAGGCGUGAAAUCCCCGGGCUCAACCUGGGAAUGGCGCUUGUGACUGCAGAGCUGGAGUGCGGCAGAGGGGGAUGGAAUUCCGCGUGUAGCAGUGAAAUGCGUAGAUAUGCGGAGGAACACCGAUGGCGAAGGCAAUCCCCUGGGCCUGCACUGACGCUCAUGCACGAAAGCGUGGGGAGCAAACAGGAUUAGAAACCCCAGUAGUCCU
rnacentral:rRNA from 1 species